GAUGAACGCUAGCGACAGGCCUAACACAUGCAAGUCGAGGGGCAGCACAUGAGUAGCAAUACGAUGGUGGCGACCGGCGCACGGGUGAGUAACACGUAUGCAACCUGCCUGUAAGAGGGGAAUAACCCGGAGAAAUUCGGACUAAUACCGCAUAAUACCACGAGACUGCAUGGUUUUUGUGGUUAAACAUUUAUGGCUUACAGAUGGGCAUGCGUAUGAUUAGAUAGUUGGUAGGGUAACGGCCUACCAAGUCUACGAUCAUUAGGGGUUCUGAGAGGAAGGUCCCCCACACUGGUACUGAGACACGGACCAGACUCCUACGGGAGGCAGCAGUGAGGAAUAUUGGUCAAUGGGCGAGAGCCUGAACCAGCCAAGUCGCGUGAAGGAAGAAGGUUCUAUGGAUUGUAAACUUCUUUUGCAGGGGAAUAAAGGACGGUACGUGUACUGUUUUGUAUGUACCUUGCGAAUAAGGAUCGGCUAACUCCGUGCCAGCAGCCGCGGUAAA
rnacentral:rRNA from 1 species